rnacentral:rRNA from 1 species
UACGAAGGGUGCAAGCGUUACUCGGAAUUACUGGGCGUAAAGCGUGCGUAGGUGGUUUGUUAAGUCUGCUGUGAAAGCCCCGGGCUCAACCUGGGAAGUGCAUUGGAAACUGGGGAACUUGAAUACGGGAGAGGGUAGUGGAAUUCCUGGUGUAGGAGUGAAAUCCGUAGAUAUCAGGAGGAACACCGGUGGCGAAGGCGGCUACCUGGACCGAUAUUGACGCUGAGACGCGAAAGCGUGGGGAGCAAACAGG